CUUGUCGGCGGCGGAGGCGUGGUGGUGCUCGGGCCGUCCCUUCUUGUUCUGGGUGGCGGGGUGGACCUGCUUGGGCAGGUCCGGGGCGGCGGCGACGGCGGAGGGGGGCACGUGCGCGAUGUCGGCGCGCUUGCGGCGCAGGUAGCCGGCGAGGAAGACGAAGGCGACGGCCCCGUCGAGCAGCACCGAGAGGAUCGGC
rnacentral:lncRNA from 1 species